rnacentral:tRNA from 1 species
GAGGAUAUAGCUCAGUGGUAGAGCACAUGCUUAGCAUGCAUGAGGUCCUGGGUUCAAUCCCCAGUACCUCCC